UCACCCCUCUGACUACUCCCGUCUGAUGAGAAAGUCCCAGGCACUGAUCUUAGGAAGUUCCAAGGCAAGGGCACAGGUACCGAUUAAUGAAUCAACAAACUCAGUGAGCACCCUCCCAUCUCCGGGCCUUCGUACUUGCUGCUUCCUCUGCCUGAAAUGUACUUCUUCAAGAUAUUCACAGCUAAGACUCACCACCUCACUCCCCCAAGGAGGUCGGAGAGAAAAGCCUGCGGUGACCACCGCACCUGAGACAAAGGUCCUCCAUUCCCUUCUCCCUCCCCUCUAUCACCACAGGAGCAAGGACUUUGCCAGGCACGACAGUAGGCGCUCAAUAAAUAUUAGUUGAAUAUAUGACUGAGUUAAUUGUAUACCUACUCUGUACCCGCUGGCCUGGCUAAUGAGGGACAAAGGAGAAAGAGACAAAGUCCCCGUCAGGGGUUCCCGGAGAAUCUCCUUAGUCGAGGAAAACGAGGCUGCUCGGUGUAAAGGGAAGCAGAUGGUCUGAGCACUGUUCCGAGCCCAGCCAACCAUUCUCAGAUCACAGCACGCGGGCAUCCUUGAAUCCAGGUCCUCCUGAAGUUUAUUUUCCGUUUUUCAUUCGCGCAGUGGCACCACCUCUAAUGUGUCUGAUGUAUAUCCUUAACCAUUGUGUAUCCUUGUAUGUGUGUG